CUUCAAACCCGUUGCAUUGGACCGGGUAAAAUAAAGGAAUUGAAGCUUUCAGUAACAGUAAGUCUAUCCCUUUCUCCAUACAUAGCGAGUUACUGGUCAUCGUCCAUUUAUUAUUUUAUUGUAAAAUCACAUCUCUUCAACCGAAUUGUUGUAUUUCCCUCGUGAAUCUGUUCUCCCCAAAACUUCACUUUCUCUCCCUUUCUCCCUCGCCGAACACCCCCUUCAUUUUUUUCUCCCUAGUUCUGUCUUCCUUGCUCUUUCUCGUCGGUCAUCUCUUUGGCCCGACACUCCCUCUCUCCCCUUCUCUCCAUUUUUUCCAUUUUUCUUCCAGUUCUCUUCCUUUUUUCAUUACCCCAAGGUUGUCGAAGUUGGGAAUAUGAUUCUCCUAAAAAAGAGCAGUCAAUUUACAAGAGAGAAUCAAUUUUAAUCAACUGGCAAUGCCUCUAUUAGGGUUCUAUUGUGCUUCACAGAAGCUAGUUUGAGCUUUGCAAACAAAUGUGAUAUACUACAGAGGUAUUUGGCAUGCUUUACAAACUAUUAGCCAGGAGGAGGGUAUUUUGGGUCUAUAUAAGGGGCUUGGAGCGACACUUAUGGGUGUUGGGCCAAGUAUAGCAAUCAAUUUUUCAGUAUAUGAGACCUUGAGAUCUUUUUGGAAAUUGCAUAGAUAAAUCACAUCAUAAGUUGUUUAUGUAAUUUUAUUGUUCUGACGUGACUUCUUACAAUUGCUAUUGCUAGUGUCCUUUUUUUGGUUCUAAAACAUAAAUUUGUUGUCUUUAUAUCAAGCCCGGUGAUUCUACUGUCCUUGUAAGUCUGACUUGUGGAAGUCUUUCAGGAAUUGCAUCAUCAACAGGUGAGUGAUCUUAGACCUUCUACAUCCGAAGCUUUUCAUGAGUUUUGAGAGUGCUUCUACAUUUCUUGUUAUUUUGGUCUAAAAAAUAUUGUCCAUCACAUGAGCAUGAUAACACAGCUCGAUGCUGUAGUUGUGAACGUCUAGAGGUAAUCAUCCAAGAUGUAGAACAUUUUUUCUUCUAUUACCUUAUCUCCAAAAUGUUUUCUUAAGUGGAAGAGAUGAAUAUUAAUUCAAAUUGAUCUACAUACCUUUCCCCCCCUAUUUUUGUCUCCUUGAAGUCUUGGAACACAAGAUACAACUCUCUGGAAGAUGGGCAACGUUUAUGCUUAGAGUGCAUGGAAUCUGCUAUCAUGGAUACUGGUGAUUGUCAACCAUUUACCAUGCCAUAAGAGAUUAUUAUGAAGGACUGAACAUGAAAUUAGAUCAACAAAUUCCAAUGCUUCUGGUUGAAAGACAAGCACUUAAUGAAGCCAUUGUUGGGGAGAAGAAUGUAAUAAAUGAUCUCUUGGUGUCUGUAUUUUAUUUACUUUUUCAUGAAAAUUCUCAGAUUCUAAAAUGUGAGGCCUUUGUGUUAUAGGUUGAUGUUAUGAAAUGUUAUUAUUGAUCUUUCUUUCA